rnacentral:rRNA from 1 species
GUAGGUGGCAAGCGUUGUCCGGAUUUAUUGGGUUUAAAGGGUGCGUAGGCGGCCUUGUAAGUCAGUGGUGAAAUACUCUAGCUUAACUAGAGGGGUGCCAUUGAUACUGCAGGGCUUGAGUACAGACGAGGUAGGCGGAAUUGACGGUGUAGCGGUGAAAUGCAUAGAUAUCGUCAAGAACUCCGAUAGUGAAGACAGCUUACUAGGCUGUAACUGACGCUGAGGCACGAAAGUGUGGGGAUCAAACAGGAUUAGAUACCCUGGUAGUCCACACUGUAAACGUUGAUGACUCGAUGUUGGCGAUACACAGCCAGCGUCCAAGAGCAAUCGUUAAGUCAUCCACCUGGGGAGUACGCCGG